UGGGGAAUAUUGGGCAAUGGGGGCAACCCUGACCCAGCAACGCCGCGUGAAGGAAGAAGGCUUUCGGGUUGUAAACUUCUUUGACGAGGGACGAAGGACGUGACGGUACCUCGAAAACAAGCCACGGCUAACUACGUGCCAGCAGCCGCGGUAAUACGUAGGUGGCAAGCGUUGUCCGGAUUUACUGGGUGUAAAGGGCGCGUAGGCGGGAUUGCAAGUCAGAUGUGAAAUGCAGGGGCUCAACCCCUGAGCUGCAUUUGAAACUGUAAUUCUUGAGUAUCGGAGAGGCAGGCGGAAUUCCUAGUGUAGCGGUGAAAUGCGUAGAUAUUAGGAGGAACACCAGUGGCGAAGGCGGCCUGCUGGACGACAACUGACGCUGAGGCGCGAAAGCGUGGGGAGCAAACAGG
rnacentral:rRNA from 1 species